CUAGGAAACUCCAAGAAAAAAACUGCAUUAAAAGAAAUUGAAGACCAUGAUCCUGAUUAAUUUUCUGCAUACAAAGUUAAAUGUCCCUUGCUGCAUUUGAUGUGUAAGCUGAAUGGUGAAUAGUGAAUGAGGCAAGUCACCAUCCAUUCUCCAGAUGUUUAGUAAUUCUUUUGAUGGUGGAAAAAAUCAGUAGCAGGGACAUCUGCAGGAUGAAUGCAAG